GCCUGGGUGGCUCAAUGGUUGAGCAUCUGCCUUUGGCUCAGGUGGUGAUCCUGGGGCCCUGGGAUCAAGUCCCAUAUCAGGCU
rfam:Canis lupus familiaris chromosome 35, whole genome shotgun sequence.